UCCCCUAAACGAAAAUCUUAAAAAACUACAUUGUAGAUGCUAUUGUGUUAUUGUAUGAAAAGAAGGGUCUUCUAUUUAUAGAUGUCCAAAACUCUUCCUCCAAGAAAGAGGUUAGCCAAAUAUGAAAAAGAAUUAUAUUUUUUCUUGCAGGAAAAGUAAAAGUAAUUAUGGUAACUUUUAUUUUCCUUCUAAGAAAAAGAAAAACUUAAAUAUAGUAAGAAAAUCAGGGCAAAAAUCCUAACAAAUCUCCCCUUUUUGGCUUGAUUUUCUUCAAAAUAUUCUUGAUCCUCCUUUUUCUUGUGCAUGAUCUUUGUUCUUCAUAUAUAUUCUUCAUAUAUCACUGCUGCUUACCAUGAUUAAAAAUUAAUAUGGGUUAAAAUUAAAGCCCUAUGCAUUAAAAAUAAAAGCAUGGGUUGAUAAGAUUAAAAGUGGAGCCUUGUGCAUUGAAAGUGAGCACAGGUUAAGAGUGGAGCUCAUGCGUUAAAAAUAAAUGCACGAGUUGAAAGGAGCCCAAGCGUUUAAGUAAGUAUGGGUUGAAAAUUGGAGCCCAUAAACAUGGGUUGAAAAUUGAUUUUGAUUUUAAAGAUGAAUAAGCAGCAGGAUUAUUGAAAUUUUGUUUGAAAUUUUUUCUCCACAUGUAGUUUGACAAAAAUCUUCAUUAUCAUCCAAAUUGUUGCAGCUUGAUUUUGAAACCGCUUUGAACCUGUUUAAUCUCGUCUCACCACACCAUUGGACCAUUGAACCGUAAGCUCUGAUACCACUUGUUGGGUUCGAAAUUGAGAGGGCGUCAUGCGAAAGCUAUUAGUUGUAAACUAUUGAGACGAUAAAUCAAACGAAAAGAAAAACAUACUAAAAACAUGAUUAUUAUGUGAUUUGGCCAAUUGACCUACAUAUAAAAACCUAAUAUAAAAGAAAACAUAAAAACUAUUAGAGAAAAAAUCUCCCCCUAAGCGAAAAUCUUAAAAGACUACAUUGUAG
rnacentral:lncRNA from 1 species